GUAAUACAAUGAAGCUUAUCUAAAAAGAUCUUCGAGUUUAUCUUACAGUUUAAGGUUAAGAUUAUCAAAGAAAAGCUGUGACUCAGGUUGGCAACUAAAAACUAAAGGGUGAGUGAUUACUGCCCCUUUGAGACAUCGAAUCAAAGCUAGCACUAGAAUGUAAAGCACACUGGAUGACAGAUCUACUGUCAUUGUUUUUGUGUACUGUUUAAGUAGACAUUAAUCCAUAGGGUUGGUUUACUAUUGUAAAUAUGGCAUAUUAUAUGUAGUGUCCCCAGGACAUGCAGCAUCUCAUAUCUAUCAUGAGUAGAUGUGAAAGUAUGCAUUCGGCAUAUGAUCCAGCAUUUCUGAUUUUUGGUUUACAAUAAUUAGAUCAGUCAAGAUUUGGCUAAAGCUUUGGGGAACCACAGAAUCUGCAUUAUUUUGUUUUUAAUACAAGAGCAAAGGCGAGAACAGGUAAGAAACAAAGCCUUUGGCACCUAUCAGUCUGGAAAAGGUUACAAAGCCUUAUCUAAGGCUUUGGAAGGAAGGAGAAGAAGGAGACUAAAUAUAAAAUGUCCAUGGGAGUGUUUCAAGGUGAAAACCACUACUGACCAAAAUGGAAACAUAAAGGCCCGUUUAAAAUUGGAUAAUUUCUGUCGUGUUACAUUGUGCAUAAAACUAACACAGCAUCUCAGAGCAAAAAUAUAUCGACAGACCAACAUCUUGGUGGUAGUGUAAUGGACUGGGACUGCUUGGAGCACAAUGCGCAAGACUCUUGUUUGACAACCUUGAUUCUGGUAUUUCUUCGGAUGCUACUUUGACACAUACCUCUAACAUUUUGCAGUAUAGACAUAGUGGCAGCAGCAUUCUCUGAAGGCAGAAGCCUGCUAUACAGAUCUGUGAAUGUUACACUGGCAUUCACCAUGGCUCUUACUUUUCAAGAAAUAAUCGAAACAAGCAAGUGAAAGCUGUGUAAAUUCGUGAAAGCAAGAUAGAGAUAACAUCUGAGUUGCUCUAACGGUUCCUAAGUGUGAUGAAGGCUACUACAGAAUAAACAGGGAAAUGUAGUUACCUUAAAUGAAUACACACUUCAAGAGACAGACAUCUAUAGCCACAACCUAUCAUUAUGCCCAGCGGUCAGUCAAUAAUUCAGCAGACUCUCGAGACUAAAUGAAGUGAGCAUUAUUAUCUCUCAAGGGCUUUAAGUACUUUAAAUGGACUGACUGCUGGAGGUAAGACCACAUACAUUGUAUUCCUGUGGAGUAAAGGAAACACCUUCAGACCCGAAGGAUACACAGUUGAAGUAAAAUUCACAUUUAUACAUCUUCCAAUCUACUUUUAGCUAUUUAACAUUACAUUUGCACAUAAUUUUCUCAGUAGUUCAGCAUAUUGGCAGACAUCUAGACAUCUAGCUGGUGGCCUUCUAGUUUGGGAAGCUAAUACCCUCACAUACAAAUAUGCAAACUGGACCAAGUUUCACCAUGUUGAAGAACCUAUAGCCAGUCUCUGAUUGUAGAUAACCUGAAAAGCUUAUGGUAAUAUCUUUUUUUCACCUUGGUCUGACUGUAAGAAAGCAAAUCACCUUAAAUUCACAGUUCAUUGGCUUGAGGAUCAUCAAGAUGUUUUUUUUUUUUUUUUUUGACAAAUUUGAGGUGGGCCUUUGUGCUCUUUUUAAUCAACCUGUUUUUGCCUGUGGGUUUUUGGCCAGUUCCACCAUUGUUCCAUGUUUUGUCUAUUUGUGGAUAAUGACUUACACUGCUGGUGACGUAUUCACGGUGGUUUGUGUACAGGUUGUGUGCAAGCUGCAUGCAGGCUGUGUUUUUGUGUGCUGUGUUCUCUCUAUGCAGGGUGUGACUGGCAGGUGCUGCUGGACAGGUGCUGCUCAUCUGACAGCAAUCAGCUGGGCUACUUAUGGAGUGGAAACCCAGAAGGCAGCGUCAGCUCAUUUUCUCACUUGGUCACCCUUCGCUGAAGGAAGUCGUGGAACCUUUCUGGUCUCCGUUUUCACUCGUGUCAUGUUCAGGGGAGUUUGGGAACUGCAGCCUUGACACUUCAGCCCUGAGCCUCCUCUCUGUUUCCAACUCCAAGCCCAGCUUCUCAAGAGCCACUUGAGAACCACCCAUCAACCUGCCUGUCCACCCUCCAACAUUAAAACUCUCAAACCAUAGUGGAGUUUCCUGGAAGAGAAGAAACGAAGCACUUCAUCCUCAGAAAACUGUUCACAGCCUGUCAGCCUCAAGCCACUGUGGAGAAGGACUUAUUUCCCCCUGGUCUUUCCAAGAGCUUAACCCCUGUUUUUGCUGAACUGACUGUGACAGCUCUUUAUCUCUUUAUGGUGAAUAAUGUUAAAAUCCUCCGGUGUCAGCAAUACACCAUAAGAAGCUCUUAACAUCAUUCCUGUAAGGCUGCAAGUUGGUCUCCACAUGCAGAUUUACUCGUACUCGUAGUCUUCCGCUUUAUCCGGGACCGGGUCGUGGGGGCAGCAGACUCAGCAGAGACGCCCAGACGUCCCUCUCCCCAGACACCUCUUCCAGCUCCUCCGGGAGCAGAUUUAUGGUCCUAUAUUGCCAUCUGGUGUUGAUCAGCACACAACUAACAUGUCCUUCAGAUGAAAAAGAUAUACCAAUCUUCUUAAAGCUUGCUUUUUCUUUCAAUGACUAUUUCUAAUUUUCUUUGGCUGCUUCUGCCUCCCUGUAUCUUAUUUUUCAGCAUUUUUCCUUUAUUUUCAUUUAUCUAAAACCGUUUCAUCGUAUCUUUUCCCUUAAGUUAUCUGCCAGACAUGUUCUGUCAUUAAUCCAGGGAAAAACAAAUUACUGCAACAUUCUUUCAACUUGUUUCAGAAAUGUAUCUUCAUUUUGUCUUUUUUUCUGUCAUUAACUUCCCCCUCCCUCCUGGCUCUCACCUUUGUGAUUAAGUACUGCUUCGUCCUCCAUCUCAUCUAAUUCUGAACAUUAUUUAUCACUCACUUGGUGGCAAGGUGAUCCUAUUAAACUAUGAAUACAUUAUUUUCCAGAAAAAGAAGAUAAAAAUUCAAAGGAAGGAAUGCUUUUGAAGUGUCCUACAUAAAAGCCUUAAGUCACAUUUGUAGUCAUUUGCAUGCAGACAUUUGAACUCACAAGGACAGACUGCAGUAAAACUAAACCUGUCUUCAUUGCAAGCAGCUACCUGGUAUUGAUUGCUUUGCAGAGUUCACAACAUUAGUUGAAGAUCCUGCUAUAUGAUUGCAUUAAUGUGGCCCUCACAAAGAUACAAUUACAGUGUAUAGUCUUUUCUCAUUACUACCCAUCCUAAAUUGAUGUCUGAGGACAAAUGACUCUUAUAAAGGCUCAUUGACCUCACAUUUAAUUAACUAAUUAAUGAAUUUAUAUGCAGCAUUAGCAGAAUAACCUUAUGCAUGUAUCCAUACAACACCAGUACAUAAAACACACAAAGCAUUUUAUAGCAGCUACUUUGAGUCAGCUGAAUUUGCCCUCUCAUCAAUUUGAAUCCCUAUUUCAUACCCAGCUAAUGGGUAUUUUGGCCCAUCCUAAAGUGCUUGCAUUAAUAAUCAUGCACUUGAGUGUGGCGUAUCAGCUUAUUUGUUUUGGAAAUUAUGUAUUUUGAUAAAUUAUGAAGAAAAUAAAUCAUAAAUUUUUAAACAUAUUGUGGUUAAUUUUAAUUGAGCAUAAUUUCCCAGAGAUUUUAUAUUACAACCUGUUACGCUUGAUUCUGGUUCGGAUCCCUUUUUUAAUCCAGAUGACUAUUUUAAAACGCAUUAUAUCUUCAAAAGUAUUCCCUCGUCAACCGUCACAGUAAUACGAACUUGAGUAACAUCCCCUUCUUGAUCCAUAGGGUUUAUUAUAAUGUUGAAAGACAUACCAGCUUGUGGGAAGAUUUUCCAAAAGGUUCUGGAGUGUGUUUAUAGUAAUUUUUACAUGUUGGACGAGAAGGCCUGGCUCCCAGUCUCUGCUGUAAUUCCUCCAAACGGGUUGAGCAAAUGUCUCUGUUCAUGCCAGUCAAGGUUUUCCACACUAAGUUUAGUCAUUCAUGAUUAGACACUUCAUAGAACACAUCUCCCCUGCUCUAGAGUCCAGUGGCAGCCUGCCUUACUCUACUGUAUCUGAAAGUUUGCGUUUCACGUGGUAAUAGAAGGCUUAGAUGCUUCUGCCCAGCCAUGGAAACUCAUUCCAUGAAGCACCCUGCAUUGUUCGUGACCUAUGCUGAAAGCCACAUAAAGUUUGGAGGUCUGCAACUACUGACUCUGCAGAAGGCUUGUGACCUGUGGUUUUAUGUGGCCACUUCAUGGCCGAGUUGCUAUUGUUCCCAUUUAAUCCCACUCACUAACAUUUGACUGUCUAAAAUUGAGUAGCAAGAACAUUUGUAGCCUAUUUUCAUGAGUGGCACAUUAUCACGGUAGCACAUUGAAAUUCACUCAGCCUCCAAGAGCGACCCACUCUUUCACAGAUGUUUGUAGAAGCAGUCUGUAUGCCGAGGUGCUGGCAUUCCUUCAACCUUCCGUCCAUUCAUCCAUCAUCCAUCCUAGAAAUUUGCUAAGUUUAUUUCUUUAAACAAAAAAUGAAAAUGUAAUGUAUUUCUUAAACAUUUUGUUCAUGUUGACAGUUAGUAAAAUCA